CGUUAAAAGAUAGCCGUCCUCCGUCAAUACAACAUGAGCUUCUGCAGGAUAACCUGCCUUUCUGAUUAGCUCCAACUGGAAAAAAGAUCGGAGACAGAACAUUUGCUUACCGUGUUGAGAUUGGCGUCGACAUUGUUCUUGGUAUCAUUUAAUGCAGUCGACAAGAGUUCUUGCAAGUUCUCGAAUGUCACGUUUACUGUCGCCGCACCAAGGAAACUACAGAGCGACAAGAAGUAUGCGAUCGCCGUCGGCUGCAUCAUCGACAACAUUCAGCGAAGAAAAGUCUUUCUGGGUAUUUUGUCUAUAGUGGAAACAAUCACAAUAGUAGAAACAAUCACUUAAAGGCUCAUAUUAGAUAUUUUAAUUCGACCAUAUUAAGAGCUAAAAAUUUCACUUUUUUAUACACUAACGUAGGUGCGUUUUUGGCAUACAAGAAAUCGACAUGAUUAAAUUUGGGAAACGGCACCCUGUAGUCUUCCACUAUAUUGGUCAGCAAGCCACGAAGUAUCUUCAAAUCCUAGAUAAAAAAAAUACCAAUCAAGGAAAUAAAGGAAGUUAUUAAAAAAAUUAUAAUGAGGAAGAAGAAGUUGUGUUCAACAAUGAUAAUACAAAAAGCGCUACAGAAAGAAAGCAAGAAUUUUCUUUCAGAUUGGUAAAUCAUUGUCUAUGAAUAAAUAUAUAUAAUUAUUUGUUUU